AGUCGACGGUAACAGAAUCAGCUUGCUGAUUUGCUGACGAGUGGCGGACGGGUGAGUAAUGUCUGGGAAACUGCCUGAUGGAGGGGGAUAACUACUGGAAACGGUAGCUAAUACCGCAUAACGUCGCAAGACCAAAGAGGGGGACCUUCGGGCCUCUUGCCAUCGGAUGUGCCCAGAUGGGAUUAGCUAGUAGGUGGGGUAACGGCUCACCUAGGCGACGAUCCCUAGCUGGUCUGAGAGGAUGACCAGCCACACUGGAACUGAGACACGGUCCAGACUCCUACGGGAGGCAGCAGUGGGGAAUAUUGCACAAUGGGCGCAAGCCUGAUGCAGCCAUGCCGCGUGUAUGAAGAAGGCCUUCGGGUUGUAAAGUACUUUCAGCGGGGAGGAAGGGAGUAAAGUUAAUACCUUUGCCCAUUGACGUUACCCGCAGAAGAAGCACCGGCUAACUCCGUGCCAGCAGCCGCGGUAAUACGGAGGGUGCAAGCGUUAAUCGGAAUUACUGGGCGUAAAGCGCACGCAGGCGGUUUGUUAAGUCAGAUGUGAAAUCCCCGGGCUCAACCUGGGAACUGCAUCUGAUACUGGCAAGCUUGAGUCUCGUAGAGGGGGGUAGAAUUCCAGGUGUAGCGGUGAAAUGCGUAGAGAUCUGGAGGAAUACCGGUGGCGAAGGCGGCCCCCUGGACGAAGACUGACGCUCAGGUGCGAAAGCGUGGGGAGCAACAGGAUUAGAUACCCUGG
rnacentral:rRNA from 1 species